UAAAAAAAACAACUGGUUAAGGCAUUUUCUAAAAUGUAAAACUAUUUUAUAACAAUAAUAUUGUCUGUGCCCAUGAGAGAAUGCCACUUUCUGAUGACUUAAUCUAUGUAAUCAUAAUCAUUAGUGACACUAUUACACAUACUCACACACAGUCUCUUCCACAAGAUUUUAAGACAGCAGUUUUAGAGAAGCAACAUUUUCAACUGUAAAAAAUGCAGACACAAACCCUAACAAUUACAUCUAGUAACUGAAUAUAAUUAGAGUAACAAUGAAAUUAAAUAUCAUCUACCUUAUUGUUUGUAAAACCAAACAAAUACAAAAUGUGUUAAAUUACUGAACAAAAAUAGGUGCAGUGCCCAAGCACUUGGCUUCCAAACUAGAGGGUUCAGGGUUUGAAUCCUGGUGAAGACUGCACUU